GGUCAAGUUAAAAAGAGCACUAGGUGAAUGCCUAGGCACCAAGAGGCGAAGAAGGACGCGACAAGCUGCGAAAAGCUACGGAAAGGAGCAAAUAUCUUAUGACCCGUAGAUCUCCGAAUGGGGAAACCCACCUCAUAAGAGGUAUCCUAUAGCCAAUCCAUAACUAUAGGAAGCGAACCAGGUGAACUGAAACAUCUAAGUAACCUGAGGAAAAGAAAGAAAACUCGAUUCCCUAAGUAGCGGCGAGCGAACGGGGAAGAGCCCGAUGUGUAUAAAGAGACAAUAGCCAGCCAAAUAAUCUGGGAAGAUUAACCAAAGAAGGUAAGAGUCCUGUAGGCGAAAGCGAAGAUAUCCGACACAAAAGAGUACCACGGAACACGAGAAAUUCAGUGGGAAUAUGGGGGGACCACCCCCUAAGGCUAAAUACUACUUGGUGACCGAUAGCGAACAAGUACCGUGAGGGAAAGGUGAAAAGAACCCCGUGAGGGGAGUGAAAUAGAAUCUGAAACCUAGUGUUUACAAGCAGCGAAAGUGGUUUUGCACCACGAUCGUGUACUUUUUGUAGAACGGGCCAGCGAGUUACGAUUACUAGCGAGGUUAAGCAUUAAAGAUGCGGAGCCGAAGCGAAAGCGAGUCUAAAUAGGGCGGAAGUUAGUGGUUGUAGACCCGAAACCGUGUGAUCUAUCCAUGAGCAGAGUGAAGUUGAAGUAAAAUUCAAUGGAGGCUCGAACCGGGUAACGUUUAAAAGUUAUCGGAUGACUUGUGGAUAGGGGUGAAAAGCCAAACGAACACGGAGAUAGCUGGUUCUCCUCGAAAUAGCUUUAGGGCUAGCCUCUAGUAAGACAUGAAAAGGGGGUAGAGCACUGAUUGGUCAAGGGGCAUGCAUAUGUUACCAAGACCUAUCAAACUCCGAAUACCAUAUCAUGCACUAGGGAGUCAGACUAUGUGGGAUGAGCUUCAUAGUCGAAAGGGAAAGAGCCCAGACCAUCAGCUAAGGUCCCAAAAUUAUAGUUAAGUGGGAAAGGAUGUGGAGUUACUGAGACAACUAGGAUGUUGGCUUAGAAGCAGCCACUCAUUUAAAGAGUGCGUAAUAGCUCACUAGUCAAGUGACUCUGCGCCGAAGAUAACCGGGGCUAAACUAUAUACCGAAGCUAUGGAACGUAUAACGUUGGUAGAGGAGCAAUGUAUGAAGGACGAAGCAGAAGUCGUAAGGCACUGUGGACAUCAUACAAGAGAGAAUGCUGGCAUGAGUAGCGAGAGGUGAGUGAGAAUCUCACCCGUCGAAAACCCAAGGAUUCCUGAGCAAGGCUCGUCCACUCAGGGUAAGUCGGGACCUAAGGCGAGGCUGAAAAGCGUAGUCGAUGGACAACAGGUGGAAAUUCCUGUACCGAUACAAUCAUUAAAGGAAGUGGGGACGCAGAAGGAUAAUAAGAGCGCCCAGUUGGUGAGGCGUGCAAGCGCAAAGGAUGGAAAGUAGGCAAAUCCGCUUUCCGAGAAGUCUGAAGCGUAAUGCGGAUCGAAAACAAGUAGAGAAGCUUAUGACUCCACACUGCCAAGAAAAGCCACUACUAGAGAAGUAUCGCCCGUACCGUAAACCGACACAGGUAGGUGAGGAGAGAAUCCUAAGACGAGCGGAAAAACCUUUGUUAAGGAACUCGGCAAAAUGACCCCGUAACUUCGGGAGAAGGGGAGCCCCUGUAAAAGGGGGCCGCAGUGAAAAGGCCCAAGCGACUGUUUACCAAAAACACAAGUUUCUGCUAAGUCGAAAGACGAAGUAUAGGAGCUGACACCUGCCCGGUGCUGGAAGGUUAAGGGAAAAAGUUAGCGUAAGCGAAGCUUAGAACUGAAGCCCCAGUAAACGGCGGCCGUAACUAUAACGGUCCUAAGGUAGCGAAAUUCCUUGUCGGGUAAGUUCCGACCCGCACGAAAGGUGUAACGAUUUGGGGAGAUUGAAUUUUGGGAUUAAAUGUACAGAAUAGGUGGGAGACUAAGAACAAGGUACGCCAGUAUCUUGGGAGUCACCGUUGGGAUACCACUCUUUUAAUGCUAGAAUUCUAACCUAACCCCAUGAAUCUGGGGAAGGGACACUCUCAGUUGGACAGUUUGACUGGGGCGGUCGCCUCCGAAAGAGUAACGGAGGCGUUCAAAGGUUCCCUCAGCACGGAUGGAAAUCGUGCGCAGAGUAUAAAGGCAGAAGGGAGCUUAACUGCGAGACCAACAAGUCGAGCAGAUGCGAAAGCAGGACUUAGUGAUCCGGUGGUACCGAGUGGAAGGGCCAUCGCUCAACGGAUAAAAGCUACCCCGGGGAUAACAGGCUUAUCUCCCCCAAGAGUCCACAUC
rnacentral:rRNA from 1 species